CAAUAAAACCUAUGAGGUUCUCAUCUGAACGGAUCUUCAGCCGUCCGAUCCAAACAGAAGAUAAAGAUUCCACGGGAAAGGUGGAGAGCCCGGAACCCAAGACGCCCCGGCCAUGCACCUCCCGUUCUUCACCCUCCACACAAAGGUGGAGGGGGACGGCGUUCGCAGACGCAAUUACAGCCAGGUCUCUCGCCCGUCCGCUGUGGAUUGGUUUGGUGUGUUUUGCAUGUGCCAGGAGGUUGAAGAGUAAGCUCCUACAGAGUGGAGCUCCCAAUGGCGCCAGCAUGGCUGAGGAUGACGCUGUGACUGCCAAAAGCCUGUCUGUGUUGGGUGGGAUGUACGGCACCGCUCCGUAG
rnacentral:lncRNA from 1 species